AGUUCGGUCCCUAUCUGCCGUGGGCGUAGGAGAUUUGAGGAGGGUGGUCCCUAGUACGAGAGGACCGGGACGAACAGACCUCUGGUGUAUCAGUUGUCGUGCCAACGGCACUGCUGGAUAGCUACGUCUGGUUCCGAUAACCGCUGAAAGCAUCUAAGCGGGAAGCGGGCUCCAAGAUUAGAUCUCCCACCAGGUCACUGGGUAAGACCCCUGGAAGACUACCAGGUUGAUAGGCUGGAAGUGUAAGGGCAGCAAUGUCUUCAGCUUACCAGUACUAAUCGGUCGAGGUCUUGACUUAACAU
rnacentral:rRNA from 1 species